rnacentral:rRNA from 1 species
AGGGUUUGAUUAUGGCUCAGGAUGAACGCUGGCGGCGUGCUUAACACAUGCAAGUCGAACGAAGCAGCUUGAUUUGAUUCUUCGGAUGAAGAUCUUGGUGACUGAGUGGCGGACGGGUGAGUAACGCGUGGGUAACCUGCCUCAUACAGGGGGAUAACAGUUAGAAAUGACUGCUAAUACCGCAUAAGACCACAGUACCGCAUGGUACAGGGGUAAAAACUCCGGUGGUAUGAGAUGGACCCGCGUCUGAUUAGGUAGUUGGUGGGGUAACGGCCUACCAAGCCGACGAUCAGUAGCCGACCUGAGAGGGUGACCGGCCACAUUGGGACUGAGACACGGCCCAA